rnacentral:rRNA from 1 species
UACGGAGGGUGCGAGCGUUGUCCGGAAUCACUGGGCGUAAAGGGCGCGUAGGUGGCCCGCGCAAGCGUGCGGUGAAAGCCCGGGGCUCAACCCCGGGUCGGCCGUGCGGACUGCGGGGCUGGAGCACUGUAGGGGCGGGUGGAAUUCCGGGUGUAGCGGUGGAAUGCGCAGAUAUCAGGAGGAACACCGGUGGCGAAGGCGGGUCUCUGGGCAACAACUGACGCUGAGGAGCGAAAGCGUGGGGAGCGAACAGG